AGGAAAAUGCACGGAUUUGUGCAGUCGAGACUCAUUCUGCGACGCGUUUACUGUGGACCAAACCGAACAAGGGGCGUUCAACUGCUACUUCUCCCAGGGCGCCAUCGACGUCUCCCUCCUGCAGCCAAAUUUCCAAGCCAAAACACACUACAAACUCGUUUCCGUAGAUUCUGUUCAGGGAACUGGACUGAGCAGCGGUAGCGGUGCAUCAAGCAGUCCAUCUGGUAGUGAAGCAACAACAGCUGGUGGUGAAGCAACAGGGUCUGGUGGUGAAACAACAGCUGGUGGUGAGGCAACAACAUCUGGUGGGGGUGAAGCAACAGGGUCGGGUGGUGGAGCAACAACUGGUGGUGAAGCAACAGGGUCUGGUGGUGAAACAACAUCUGGUGGUGAGGGAACGCCAUCUGGCGGCGAUGUACCAUCUGGUGGAGCAACAACAGCAGCUGCUGGUCAUACAACAUCAAAUGCACUCGACGCAGGAACUACACAAAGGACUGAAACGCCUCCGCCAACAACCACUACAGUGCCUCCUUCAACGACAACAACAAC